GAUGAAGAACGCAGCGAAAUGCGAUACGUAAUGUGAAUUGCAGAAUUCAGUGAAUCAUCGAGUCUUUGAACGCACAUUUCGCCCCCUGGUAUUCCGGGGGGCAUGCCUGUCCGAGCGUCAUUGCUGCCCUCAAGCACGGCUUGUGUGUUGGGCCUCCGUCCUCCUCCCGGGGGACGGGCCCGAAAGGCAGCGGAGGCACCGCGUCCGGUCCUCGAGCGUAUGGGGCUUCGUCACCCGCUCUUGUAGGCCCGGCCGGCGCUUGCCGACACAUCAAUCUUUUUUCCAGGUUGACCUCGGAUCAGGUAGGGAUACCCGCUGAACUUAAGCAUAUCAAUAAGCGGAGGA
rnacentral:misc_RNA from 1 species